rnacentral:rRNA from 1 species
UACGAAGGGGGGCUAGCGUUGCUCGGAAUCACUGGGCGUAAAGCGCACGUAGGCGGAUUGUUAAGUCAGGGGUGAAAUCCUGGAGCUCAACUCCAGAACUGCCUUUGAUACUGGCGAUCUCGAGUCCGGGAGAGGUGAGUGGAAUUUGCGAGUGUAGAGGUGAAAUUCGUAGAUAUUCGCAAGAACACCAGUGGCGAAGGCGGCUCACUGGCCGGUACUGACGCUGAGGUGCGAAAGCGUGGGGAGCAAACAGG